rnacentral:lncRNA from 1 species
GCUGUCGCGCCAUUCUGCCGGCAUGGCAUUUCGCCGGCAGCAGGGGCUAACCGUGCCAUGGUUGUGGGGGUUAGUUCGUGCCGUGCAGCGAGAUGAGGCUGUCGCCCGGCUAUAAGGGCGCAGCGCCGGCCUGUACCGGCGCUGCUUUCUCGUUACUCCCAACUGUGCAUAGGUUUACUCUUAUGUGCACCAACAACGGAUCGACGUCUGUAACGAACUCUGGUGGACAGCGCACUGGGUUCCGGAAGUCAUCUGUUGGGGCGUCUUCGGGUUGCAGCCAAGUCUAGGCGCGCAGGCGCAUAGCAACGUCACUCUAGCCCAAGCAACCACGUAUCACCGUCAGCUGAGCUGCCAAACGGACGAGUUAGGCGAGGAGACAGCCGCCGGCUUCGCAAGUCUCGGAUACCGGUUCUCGAGCACGCUGCUCGGGCAGCCUGCGGAGGCGCCGGUCGGCCUAUCCUGCAGCCACCAAGUAACGAGAAAGCAGCCGGCAACUACAGCUGUGGUGACGGCGACGUGGGAGCUCGCGGCGAGCCGACAACAUCACCGACGCUCGGGGACGCCUCCAUUAGUCCUGCUUAGCUGCAUUAUGGAAACUUUGCCAUGUAUUGACACUCUUGGCUGCAGAAGAGUUGUCUUUCCGUGUUUGGUAGCACUGGCCACUGUGGGCAACGGGCCUAGAGAGUUCUCUAAACAGUAGAAGAAUUCCAACAGUGAGGAUCCUGGCCAUUCAUGGAGAGCGGCUUUAUGGAGUUAUUGAGCCGCGUUGAGGGUGGUGAAUGGACAUGGACAUGCUCGGCGGACUGUGCGAGACUGCUUGCGAGUGGUCCUUGUAUGUUGUCAUUGUGACAUGUCCACGGUGGUUCUGGAUGCGCGUCUGACAUCGCCGGGGACGUAAGCUGGGGGGACCGCGUGCCCGCGGUUUUGUGUGCCCCGCAGCCGGUGGCCGGAGACAAGCGUCACAUUCAGGCGUGCCCUUGAGACGAGCUGCACAUAGAAGCUACUCACCUGGAUGCUGAUGAGCUGUGUGGGGCUUUCGGGCGCGUUUGAGCCCCUUUCGCUAUGGACUUGUGGACAGGCGGUCACACAUGGUGACAGCCUCGGGACUGCAAGUAUUCGUCCUCUCUGCUGUGGGGGGAAGUGGUGUGACCGGUGGCGGCGCCGUGCAAAGCCGGCAGAAUGACACGACAGCUGUCGCGCCAUUCUGCCGGCAUGGCAUUUCGCCGGCAGCAGGGGCUAACCGUGCCAUGGUUGUGGGGGUUAGUUCGUGCCGUGCAGCGAGAUGAGGCUGUCGCCCGGCUAUAAGGGCGCAGCGCCGGCCUGUACCGGCGCUGCUUUCUCGUUACUCCCAACUGUGCAUAGGUUUACUCUUAUGUGCACCAACAACGGAUCGACGUCUGUAACGAACUCUGGUGGACAGCGCACUGGGUUCCGGAAGUCAUCUGUUGGGGCGUCUUCGGGUUGCAGCCAAGUCUAGGCGCGCAGGCGCAUAGCAACGUCACUCUAGCCCAAGCAACCACGUAUCACCGUCAGCUGAGCUGCCAAACGGACGAGUUAGGCGAGGAGACAGCCGCCGGCUUCGCAAGUCUCGGAUACCGGUUCUCGAGCGCGCUGCUCGGGCAGCCUGCGGAGGCGCCGGUCGGCCUAUCCUGCAGCCACC